GCUGGAGAAAGUAGUUGUUGAAACAAACUGCUAUGCUGAGCAGACAACGUAUAGGUGUUUUUCAGCCUACUGAUACUGAAGGCAUGGGCACCGACAACUUCUUGUUGAUGAUGGCACUUGUUGCUACCCCGUGACCACCAGAAGCUGCGACAAACAACCUCAUGAAGAUUCCGGAAUAACAGAUGGCUUUGUGCUUCAUUUUACAUCCAUACUUAUGCAGACCUGAGCGGUCGGCCUAUUUCAACUGCCUUUUGGACGAGAUGCAAGUCUGGAAGUUGUCACAGGGUGAGCAAAGAGGCUCAGAAGAAUCUGAUGGCUUCCUACAUCUACAACAUCUGAGUAUACGAGAGACUUCGAGAAUGUAAAGUGGGAUAUAUUAAAUGUUACCGUACUCAGCUGGUAGCGCUGUGAUCCCGCUGCCUGUUGCUCCUUACCGCAGGAGCAGCUCAUCCAAAAAUGAUAAGAACACGGAGAAAGGAUAAAAGUCAGGUGGAAAGUACUCAGAACUGGACUUUCUCCAUAGAAGAGGAAUGUUUGAUCGCUUUUAUAUAAAUUGGAUGAACUCUUACAGCAUUGAGGAAAACCAGCUUAAAUUUCUUAUUUCAGGUGCUGUUUUAACGCUGGAUCAGAGUGAAAAGGGCAUAAAAGGGACUGGAAACGAGUGAAUGAGACAAUAAAAACUCAAAUCUACUAUCCAGUUAUUGAAAUACUGGCUGAAUUUGUCAAGUUACUGCCUAGGAACAUAAGUUACAUAAAAGUACACCACCUGGCACACUAAAGAAGCUCCCCAUAGCUG